UGCCUUACCAACAUUUGCAAAACUCACAAAUCUGCUUCCUUUUGGAUGUAAUUCAUUAUUCAUUUCGUUAGUUGAAAAUGAAAAGAAACAAUCACUUUUUCAAAAGAGAUAUUUUUGUGCGAGAACACAAUGAACAGCUUUGUAUUUGUAAGGCGUGAACACAAAGGACAACACGUCUCCUUACAAAACUUGGAGGGAAGGGACUUCUGACAUGUUUUACAAAGAUCCCCAUUUCUCCAUGACCACUGAAGCAAAUCGAAUGGGUUUUUCUGCAACAUGUAGGUAAUAAGUUCUAGUUUCAUGCCUUGAAAUUGCAUUUUGAUUGAUUCUCUACUUUUAAAGUUAUCAUUGCAAAAAGUGCGAUUGUAAUUUUUUGGGGGGACAUACGGUACAA